GGGAUUAGCUAGUAGGUGGGGUAACGGCUCACCUAGGCGACGAUCCCUAGCUGGUCUGAGAGGAUGACCAGCCACACUGGAACUGAGACACGGUCCAGACUCCUACGGGAGGCAGCAGUGGGGAAUAUUGCACAAUGGGCGCAAGCCUGAUGCAGCCAUGCCGCGUGUAUGAAGAAGGCCUUCGGGUUGUAAAGUACUUUCAGCGGGGAGGAAGGGAGUAAAGUUAAUACCUUUGCUCAUUGACGUUACCCGCAGAAGAAGCACCGGCUAACUCCGUGCCAGCAGCCGCGGUAAUACGGAGGGUGCAAGCGUUAAUCGGAAUUACUGGGCGUAAAGCGCACGCAGGCGGUUUGUUAAGUCAGAUGUGAAAUCCCCGGGCUCAACCUGGGAACUGCAUCUGAUACUGGCAAGCUUGAGUCUCGUAGAGGGGGGUAGAAUUCCAGGUGUAGCGGUGAAAUGCGUAGAGAUCUGGAGGAAUACCGGUGGCGAAGGCGGCCCCCUGGACGAAGACUGACGCUCAGGUGCGAAAGCGUGGG
rnacentral:rRNA from 1 species